rnacentral:tRNA from 1 species
GGCCUUAGCUCAGCUGGGAGAGCACCUGCUUUGCAAGCAGGGGGUCGUCGGUUCGAUCCCGACAGGCUCCACCA